GAGGAAUUUUGCACAAUGGGGGCAACCCUGAUGCAGCGACGCCGCGUGAGUGAUGAAGGCUUUCGAGUCGUAAAACUCUGUCAGCAGGGAAGAAAUGCAUAUCAAUUAAUACCUGAUGUGUUUGACGGUACCU
rnacentral:rRNA from 1 species